UGGAAAGUUUUUUCGGUGCAAGAUGACGCUCGCGGACUAUCAGCUUGUUGGUGGGGUAAUGGCCUACCAAGGCGUCGACGGGUAGCCGGCCUGAGAGGGUGUACGGCCACAUUGGGACUGAGAUACGGCCCAGACUCCUACGGGAGGCAGCAGUGGGGAAUAUUGCACAAUGGGCGGAAGCCUGAUGCAGCCGACGCCGAGUGGGGGAUGAAGGCCUUCGGGUUGUAAACUCCUUUCGACAGGGACGAAGCGUAAGUGACGGUACCUGUAUAAGAAGCACCGGCUAACUACGUGCCAGCAGCCGCGGUAAUACGUAGGGUGCGAGCNUUGUCCGGAAUUACUGGGCGUAAAGAGCUCGUAGGUGGUUUGUCGCGUCGUCUGUGAAAUUCCGGGGCUUAACUCCGGGCGUGCAGGCGAUACGGGCUGACUUGAGUGCUGUAGGGGAGACUGGAAUUCCUGGUGUAGCGGUGAAAUGCGCAGAUAUCAGGAGGAACACCGAUGGCGAAGGCAGGUCUCUGGGCAGUAACUGACGCUGAGGAGCGAAAGCAUGGGUAGCGAACAGGAUUAGAUACCCUGGUAGUCCAUGCCGUAAACGGUGGGCGCUAGGUGUAGGGGGCUUCCACGUCUUCUGUGCCGUAGCUAACGCAUUAAGCGCCCCG
rnacentral:rRNA from 1 species